rnacentral:RNase_P_RNA from 1 species
CGAUUUCGACAGUCGCUGGCGAAAGUUAGAGGAAAGUCCAUGCUCGCACAGUCUGUGAUGACUGUAGUGUUUGUGCUGGAUGAAGUCAUAAAUCCAGGCAGGUCAUUGACUUGACGGCUGCUUGACUUCCUAAGGGAAACUAGGGAAGGAAGGCUUUAAAAGUGCCACAGAGACGAGCCAUUCUGGAAACAGAAUGGGUGGAACGGGUAAACCCCACAAGCGAGAAACCCAAAUUUGGUAGGGGAAUCGGCCGGAAUGAAUCAGAAAGGAAGGCCGGAUAGGAAACUAUAGAUAAAUGACUGUCUAAUACAGAACAUGGCUUAUGAAA